GAUGAACGCUGGCGGCGUGCUUAACACAUGCAAGUCGAACGAUGAAGCCCUGCUUGCUUGGUCUAAUGGGGGCGAACGGGCGAGUGACACGUGAGUAAACUGCCCUCUACUCUUUGGUAAGCCUUAGAGAAUGGGACUAAUAGCUGAUACGGCCUUCCACCUCCGGGUGAGUGCUGGGAAUAUUAUUCGCUUUUGGCUGGGCUCGCGCCGUAUCAGGUUUUUCGUGUGGUAAUGGCUGACCAAGACGACGACGGGUAGCCGGCCUGAGAGGGUGACCGGCCACACUGGGACUGAGGGACGGCCCAGACUCCUACGGGAGGCAGCAGUGGGGAGUAUUGCACAAUGGGCGCAAGCCUGAUGCAGCGACGCCGCGUGAGGGAUGACGGCCUUCGGGUUGUAAACCUCUUUCGGUAGGGAAGAAGCGAAAGUGACGGUACCUGAAGAAGAAGCACCGGCUAACUACGUG
rnacentral:rRNA from 1 species